UGGGGAAUUUUGGACAAUGGGCGAAAGCCUGAUCCAGCAAUGCCGCGUGUGUGAAGAAGGCCUUCGGGUUGUAAAGCACUUUUGUCCGGAAAGAAAUCCUUGGCUCUAAUACAGUCGGGGGAUGACGGUACCGGAAGAAUAAGCACCGGCUAACUACGUGCCAGCAGCCGCGGUAAUACGUAGGGUGCAAGCGUUAAUCGGAAUUACUGGGCGUAAAGCGUGCGCAGGCGGUUUGCUAAGACCGAUGUGAAAUCCCCGGGCUCAACCUGGGAACUGCAUUGGUGACUGGCAGGCUAGAGUAUGGCAGAGGGGGGUAGAAUUCCACGUGUAGCAGUGAAAUGCGUAGAGAUGUGGAGGAAUACCGAUGGCGAAGGCAGCCCCCUGGGCCAAUACUGACGCUCAUGCACGAAAGCGUGGGGAGCAAACAGGAUUAGAUACCCUGGUAGUCCAGCGCCCUAAACGAUGUCAACCAGUUGUCGGGGAUUCAUUUCCUUAGUAACGUAGCUAACGCGUGAAGUUGACCGCCUGGGGAGUACGGUCGCAAGAUUAAAACUCAAAUGAAUUGAC
rnacentral:rRNA from 1 species